ACUAAACAAAAAAAAACACAACCAAAUAAAAAACAACAACAACCAACAUUAGGCAAACGUUUCAAGAUCAAGCGGCAGACGUGGGAGAAGUCGCAGGACCUCUAAACACAUCCUUGCUGGCCAAACGAGAAAAAGAAAAAAAAAAGGCCGUGAGACAGCGAAAAAUUCGUGGGAAAUACCGGCAUACACAACCUUCACUCAGUCACCAAUUCAGAGCGUUUUAACACAAAAGUCUGCUGGCAGCAAUCAACUUUAGGCCGAAAUUAUCAUAAAAUCUCGAUCGAAAUCGUUAAUGAAAAGAACAGAAAUUCCAUUCAACUAUCAUCUGGAUUUUCCACUGUUUCAUUUUGUGUUGUUGACUGAUACGAAGAUCAAAGAUAAAAGACCAAAUUCGAUAAGGAAAAGCAAUUCUCCCACACAACAGAGUAUAUAAUAAAAGUAAUAAUAAUAAUAACAAUAUUAAUAAAGUAUAAAGAAAAUAAUUUUGAUUAAAACAUACCUUUGUUUUCAAUAAGUGUGCGCUAGAUAGAAUCAUAUAUAUAUAUAUAUCUAAAUAUAUAUACGUAUAACAUUUGAUUACCUUCGUCGGUGAGUGUCUAGCCAAUCAAUCUAUAGCCUAUAGGAACCAUACAUAUAUAUAUAUAUAUAUACCACAAGGUUUUAUACUGAAUUUAUAAAAUUUUGGGUAAGGGCGCAGUGCGCAUCGAAAGGCCCCAUCAAAGCAUCAACACCAAACUCAAUAUAAACUAACAAAUAGAAAAAAACAAAAUACCAUAAGCAAGUGUUUUUUUUGUCGCAUAUAAAUAAAUUUACAUAUUUACACAUACGAGACGGAAGUUAAGCAAAAGUAAUAUUAAAAUAAAGACUUAAAUUUCUCAAAGAAAUAAAUAUUUAUACAAGAACAGGCGAUGAAAUAAGAAGAACAAGUAAAAAAAACGGACUUCCAACGAUUUCAAAAUACGACGAAAAAUACGAAUUACGAAAUAUUUUUUAGAGCAAGGACCCUGCAAACAAAGUAUGAUAUGACUAAAUCUACGCAAAUCGGUUAACAAAAAUAUUUGCCAAAUCUAUGUAUUGAAUCA
rnacentral:sRNA from 13 species